AAGAAAAGAAAAUAUCAUCUUUUCUUCAUCUUCUCUCCACCGAAAAAAAUGGCAGCAAAGAAAGGGUUUAGAAGCUGGAAACUUUCAGCAAAGAAACUCCCUUUAUAAUGAUGAAAAUCGAGAUUUGGACCUAGAACGGAAAGAAAUCGAUUAAGGGAUAAUUACAUCUUUUUUUUCACCUUUGUGAUAUCGAGAGUUUCCAGGUUAGCUCGGGUUGGAGGCCGUCAGAGAUAUUAUCACACUGUCAAGCUAACGCUAUUGGUGUAGUGAUUUCAAGUACUUUGAGCCUAUGACCUGUAUAGGAGUUUAAAUAUUAGAGUAUGUGAUAUGGCUUUAACCAUAUGUGUUGGCUUAUUUUGAUUAUGGGGUUGUAAAUCUAUUUUAAUUAUGCAUGCAUGUGCUAUGGUAUUAUGUGAUGAGUUUAUAAUGAUUAUAGUAUGAAUGUGGUAAA